CAGUUUAGAAUUAAUAUAAGCCUCUGUGUAUUUCAUUGGGACUGAACAGCUGCAGGACCAGAUGGGACAGAAACUUCUGUCUACAGUACAGCCUUCCCAGAGAAGCACAGCAUAACAGACUGGAGGGACAUUCACCCAGCUGCAUAGGCCACGGUGGGUUCAUCACUGCAGAAACCUUCAUCAGCAUCCCAACAGCCACGGGAUGCAGGAUCAAGGGCCAUGACGAUCACACUGUACCCUAAGUCUGGCUGGAGGAAGGCAGCACCUUUCAUCUGUUGGUUAACUGCAGCACACACCCUGCGCCAGGUGGAGUGGAAGCUGGCUGAAGUCUCAGAGAAGCCUACCCAUCUGCACUGCACCCAUUAACAACCUUCAAAACUGGGCGCCAUCAGCCUGGCACACCCAGCACACGGAAAAGCAAGGCUCGCUUUCCUCCAAUCGUCAGUACUCACCAGGACAGUUUGAGACACGGAGAAAAGGUUUAAAAAAAUGAGAGUAACUGAGAAGUCACCGACCAAUGUUAGUCAGUGAUGUGUUAGUUUCAAAAUGUAUUUUCCCCAAAACUGGAUCUUUCCUUUGCUAGUUACUAAAUAAUUUUGCUUAACACUAGAAAUAAUUGAUCUAAAGCCACAUAUUGAAUAAAUGCAUAGCAAUUAGUCAUGGAAA